GACAGAGGGUGCAACCGUUGUUCGGAAUUACUGGGCGUAAAGCGCGCGUAGGCGGACCUGCAAGUCGGGGGUGAAAGCCCGAGGCUCAACCUCGGAACUGCCUUCGAUACUGCGGGUCUCGAGUCCGGGAGAGGUGAGUGGAAUUCCUAGUGUAGAGGUGAAAUUCGUAGAUAUUAGGAAGAACACCAGUGGCGAAGGCGGCUCACUGGCCCGGUACUGACGCUGAGGCGCGAAAGCGUGGGGAGCAAACAGG
rnacentral:rRNA from 1 species